rnacentral:rRNA from 1 species
UGCCAGCCGCCGCGGUAAGACGGGAGAUGCAAGCGUUAUUCGGAUUUAUUGGGCGUAAAGCGUGCGUAGGCGGAUUAUUAAGUCUGAUGUGAAAUCCCGCGGCUCAACCGCGGACGUGCAUUGGAUACUGGUAAUCUUGAGUCCCGGAGAGGAGAGCGGAAUUCCUAGUGUAGAGGUGAAAUUCGUAGAUAUUAGGAGGAACACCAGUGGCGAAAGCGGCUCUCUGGACGGUGACUGACGCUGAGGCACGAAAGCAUAGGUAGCAAACAGGAUUAGAUA